AACGCUAGCUACAGGCUUAACACAUGCAAGUCGAGGGGUAGCAGGGCAGCAAUGCCGCUGACGACCGGCGCACGGGUGAGUAACACGUAUCCAACCUACCUUCUACUUGGGAAUAGGCUUUCGAAAGAAAGAUUAAUACCCGAUGGCAUAAAGAGUCCGCAUGUUCUCUUUAUUAAAGAAUUUCGGUAAAAGAUGGGGAUGCGUUCCAUUAGAUAGUUGGUGAGGUAACGGCUCACCAAGUCUUCGAUGGAUAGGGGUUCUGAGAGGAAGGUCCCCCACAUUGGAACUGAGACACGGUCCAAACUCCUACGGGAGGCAGCAGUGAGGAAUAUUGGUCAAUGGGCGAUGGCCUGAACCAGCCAAGUAGCGUGAAGGAUGACUGCCCUAUGGGUUGUAAACUUCUUUUAUAAGGGAAUAACAGCAGGAACGUGUUCCUGUUUGCAUGUACCUUACGAAUAAGGAUCGGCUAACUCCGUGCCAGCAGCCGCGGUAAUACGGAGGAUCCAAGCGUUAUCCGGAUUUAUUGGGUUUAAAGGGUGCGUAGGCGGAAAGAUCAGUCAGUUGUGAAAGUUUGAGGCUCAACCUUAAAAUUGCAAUUGAUACUGUCUUUCUUGAGUGUACAAGAGGUGGGCGGAAUUCGUGGUGUAGCGGUGAAAUGCUUAGAUAUCACGAAGAACUCCGAUUG
rnacentral:rRNA from 1 species